UCAAGUAGACUCCGCCCGGACUCCUAUGGGAGCCGGGCUUCGUCCACGACUCCAACGGCUGCAGACAGACUUCAUCCAGACUCCUACGGGAGCCGGACACCGCCGACAGCUUCGACCUCAAGUAGACUCCGCUCGGACUCCUACGGGAGCCGGGCUUCGUCCUCAGCGUCAACUGCUGGUAAGCCCCGUCCGGACUCCUACGGGAGCCGGACUUCACCUUUAACUUUGAUUGCAGGAAGACUCCGCCCGGACUCCUAUGGGAGCCGGGCUUCGUCCUCGACUCCAACGGCUGCAGACAGACUUCGUCCGGACUCCUACGGGAGCCGGACUACGCCGACAGCUUCGACCUCAAGUAGACUCCGCCCGGAC
rnacentral:lncRNA from 1 species